CUAUUUUGCUGGUAAAGAGAAACAGUCACCAAAAUGUAACAGACUCUCAUGGAGUCAGGGCUGGCUCUGCACAAUGAACAAAGCAUGUUCCGUGCUGAGGGACAGCAAGUGCAAAAGCCUUAAAGCCAGACUAUGCCUUAAAGGACCACACCAAGGAAAGGAAGGCAGGAGGGGGAGCACUCAGUUGAACUGAAGCUACAGGGAAGAUCAGCAAGGAAGAGAAGGGGCUGGACUCGUCAUUGGGAUUCUCCUUCAGGACUCUCCCCUUUCCCCACCCCACCUUCACCUCUUGUCCUGGUGACUGUACCUGUUCCUAACCCACAGAGAGCCAUCAUGAUACAGGAGUGAUCUCUGGCCCAGCUGGCCAGGAAGGCACUUUGAGACCAUCAGACACACCAAAGCAAAAGAGCACAAGACCUGAAGUAUAGAGACAAGAGUUCACCAGCCAGCCCAGCAUGCUGCUUCAUCAGCACAGCCUCUUUCCACCAAACCCAGAGCCAAGUGUGCUUCCAGCAUAGGUUCUACAGUAAAACCCACACUCCAG
rnacentral:lncRNA from 1 species